rnacentral:rRNA from 1 species
AUUGAACGCUGGCAGCAGGCCUAACACAUGCAAGUCGAACGAGUGGCGGACGGGUGAGUAAUGUCUGGGAAACUGCCUGAUGGAGGGGGAUCACUACUGGAAACGGUAGCUAAUACCGCAUACCAUCAGAUGUGCCCAGAUGGGAUUAGCUAGUUGGUGGGGUAACGGCGCACCAAGGCGACGAUCCCUAGCUGUUCUGAGAGGCGGACCGGCCACACUGGAACUGAGACACGGUCCAGACUCCUACGGGAGGCAGCAGUGGGGAAUAUUUGACAAUGGGCGCAAGCCUGAUGCAGCCAUGCCGCGUGUAUGAGGAGGGCCUUCGGGUUGUAAAGUACUUUCAGCGGGGAGGCGUUACCCGCAGAAGAAGCACCGGCUAACUCCGUGCCAGCCGCCGCGGUAAUUC